AAAUAAAAAUAUUGUCAUUAGAGCAUUUAUUUGUAGAAAAUAAGCUUUAUAUAAAAUAAAAACAGCAUUUAAAACAGAUGUCUAGAUUACAGACCAAUCUCUUGAGCCCGACCCGACAUGGCCCGAGGAAAGUGGCAGGGAGUGACUAUAUGCUGAGUAACCACAAGGUUAUUCUUACAGUGUUUUUGGCAGAAUGAAUUUGUCUGCAUUUAAAUAAAAGACUGAAAACUGCACAUAAUGUGUUAACUCAAAAGAAUAUUGUACCUAAUAUGUAAUUAUCUUUUUUUCUAAUAUACAUUACAAUGUUUCCCAUAUUUCCUACUUGCAUUCAUCCAUGUGUAGUCAUUUCCUCCAGAUUACCAUAUGGUUAUUCUCGCAUGGUUUUGGCAGAUUGAAUUGGUCUCCAUGUAAAUUGGAUACUGAACACCAAACACAAUGGGUUAACUCAAAAGAUUAAUGUUAAAUGUUAGAGUUAUUCUAGCUUUCUAUGUAAUUAACUUGUUCUUUUAUACAGUACAAGGAUCCACUACAAAGCUGAAGAAGCUGGAGACAUUUCCGAUGCCAAGCCACUCUUGGUUGAUGGACCUCAAUUUGAGGUUUUUGAGAGUCUCUCCUUCUGGGCUCUCCACUGAAGGAGCUCCACUCCUGAGCAGAAGAGAGCAGGACCCUGCUCGUCACGUUUAACAUUCUCCAGUGAUGGCUGAGCUGCGGUGUUCUGCAGAGUUCUGAAGGGCCUCGGGACUGGAGCCAGUUCAGACACGUUAAUUAAAGGAACAUUCCACAGGUGGACUCUUUCCUCCACGUCCCUCCUCGUUUAGUCCGGCCGUGUCAGAAAGAAGCCUGCUGUUCUACAGGCCGCGCCACGGCCCAGACUGAAGCUCACUGACGGGGUGACUGUGUGGAAAGUAUGAGAGUGAAGAUGAGUUACAGUAAAUGUUUGUUGCCAUUAUAAUUAUAAACAUGGUGACAUAGUGACGGCUGGCUGGCUGCGUCCUAAAUUGACCUGGGGGUUCUCAACUGUUUCUACCUUACGGCCCACCUGUUUACAACGCCCC
rnacentral:lncRNA from 1 species